CAGCAGUGUUGGUUCUUACCAGUCAGGCUCUGGCCAUACUCCAGGACUCUGUAGAUCCUGAGUAUGACCAGAGCCUAACUACAUACUAACCUAG
rnacentral:pre_miRNA from 1 species